GCCUACGGGACGCAGCAGUGGGGAAUAUUGCACAAUGGGGGAAACCCUGAUGCAGCAACGCCGCGUGAGUGAAGAAGUAUUUCGGUAUGUAAAGCUCUAUCAGCAGGGAAGAAGAAAGACGGUACCUGACUAAGAAGCCCCGGCUAACUACGUGCCAGCAGCCGCGGUAAUACGUAGGGGGCAAGCGUUAUCCGGAUUUACUGGGUGUAAAGGGAGCGUAGACGGCUGUGCAAGUCCGAAGUGAAAGCCCGUGGCUCAACCGCGGAACUGCUUUGGAAACUGGCGGGCUAGAG
rnacentral:rRNA from 1 species